UCGGCGAAAACGAUGAUGAUGAUUUGCGAGCGAGGAAAAAAACCGCAUGCAAGCGCGAGAGAACAAAUCACCGCGGGGGAAAGAAAAUCGCAUGCAAACGCGAGAGGUGAUACUGACCGCUGACGUCACGCCCCCUCAGACGUGAACAGGAUUGCUUCAGCCACUGGUCCGCUACAACAUGCAACACUCAGAUGGAGCACCUUCAUGGGAAAAGAAGCAGAACUUGGUCCAUGAGAGAGUAAACGGGGAGAAACCAGACCUGGUCCCAGCCAACAGGACAUGGAUUGUAACCAGCUUUGCAAAUUUUGAUACAAUUGUAAAAUUUCUGAGAUUUUAUUGGCAAGAUAACAAUUCAAAAUGUAUAUCAUUUCAGCCGGCAUCAGUUUUUGUACGUACAGAAAUGCAAUUUUGUGAGGCAUGUGUAACGUUUCAAGUAUCUAUUAAAGCUGUCAAGAAGA